rnacentral:rRNA from 1 species
UGGUAAACUCCAUCUAAGGCUAAAUAUGACCACGAGACCGAUAGCGAACAAGUACCGUGAGGGAAAGUUGAAAAGCACUUUGAAGAGAGAGUUCAAGAGUACGUGAAACCGUUUAGGGGUAAACCUGAGAAACCCGAAAGGUCGAAGGGAGAAAUUCAUUCGCGUUUCGCAGUCGGCGUGAGGCGAUCGAGUGACGGAACGCGUCUUCGGACGUUUUCUGCACCUUUUGUUUUUCGAUCCGAUAGCGAACGCGUGCACUUUUCUCCUGGUAGGACGUCGCGAUCCGUUGGGUGUCGGUCUACGGCUCACGGUGGAGCCCGGAUGUACGGCUUGCCGUCACGUCCGGACCCGUGUGUCCCGGCUGACUCGCUCGACGGUAUACGAAUGGUUUAAGGCCGCUCUCGCGAGCGUUCNGCUCGUCGCAAGCGCGUC